rnacentral:rRNA from 1 species
GGGACACGUGGUAUCCUGUCUGAAUAUGGGGGGACCAUCCUCCAAGGCUAAAUACUCCUGACUGACCGAUAGUGAACCAGUACCGUGAGGGAAAGGCGAAAAGAACCCCGGCGAGGGGAGUGAAAAAGAACCUGAAACCGUGUACGUACAAGCAGUGGGAGCCUCUUUUAUGGGGUGACUGCGUACCUUUUGUAUAAUGGGUCAGCGACUUAUAUUCUGUAGCAAGGUUAACCGUAUAGGGGAGCCGAAGGGAAACCGAGUCUUAACUGGGCGUUAAGUUGCAGGGUAUAGACCCGAAACCCGGUGAUCUAGCCAUGGGCAGGUUGAAGGUUGGGUAACACUAACUGGAGGACCGAACCGACUAAUGUUGAAAAAUUAGCGGAUGACUUGUGGCUGGGGGUGAAAGGCCAAUCAAACCGGGAGAUAGCUGGUUCUCCCCGAAAGCUAUUUAGGUAGCGCCUCGUGAACUCAUCUUCGGGGGUAGAGCACUGUUUCGGCUAGGGGGCCAUCCCGGCUUACCAACCCGAUGCAAACUACGAAUACCGAAGAAUGUUAUCACGGGAGACACACGGCGGGUGCUAACGUCCGUCGUGAAGAGGGAAACAACCCAGACCGCCAGCUAAGGUCCCAAAGUCAUGGUUAAGUGGGAAACGAUGUGGGAAGGCACAGACAGCCAGGAUGUUGGCUUAGAAGCAGCCAUCAUUUAAAGAAAGCGUAAUAGCUCACUGGUCGAGUCGGCCUGCGCGGAAGAUGUAACGGGGCUAAACCAUG